rnacentral:rRNA from 1 species
UAGGGAAUCUUCGGCAAUGGACGAAAGUCUGACCGAGCAACGCCGCGUGAGUGAAGAAGGUUUUCGGAUCGUAAAGCUCUGUUGUAAGAGAAGAACGGGUGUGAGAGUGGAAAGUUCACACUGUGACGGUAUCUUACCAGAAAGGGACGGCUAACUACGUGCCAGCAGCCGCGGUAAUACGUAGGUCCCGAGCGUUGUCCGGAUUUAUUGGGCGUAAAGCGAGCGCAGGCGGUUAGAUAAGUCUGAAGUUAAAGGCUGUGGCUUAACCAUAGUACGCUUUGGAAACUGUUUAACUUGAGUGCAGAAGGGGAGAGUGGAAUUCCGUGUGUAGCGGUGAAAUGCGUAGAUAUAUGGAGGAACACCGGUGGCGAAAGCGGCUCUCUGGUCUGUAACUGACGCUGAGGCUCGAAAGCGUGGGGAGCGAACAGGAUUAGAUACCCUGGUAGUCCACGCCGUAAACGAUGAGUGCUAGGUGUUAGGCCCUUUCCGGGGCUUAGUGCCGCAGCUAACGCAUUAAGCACUCCGCCUGGGGAGUACGACCGCAAGGUUG